rnacentral:rRNA from 1 species
UACAGAGGUGCCGAGCGUUAGGCGGAAUCACUGGGCUUAAAGCGUGUGUAGGCGGUCGAUCAAGUCCCUUGUGAAAUCCCACGGCUCAACCGUGGAACCGCUGGGUAUACUGGUUGUCUUGAGCCGGCUAGGGGCGAGCGGAACAGACGGUGGAGCGGUGAAAUGCGUAGAUAUCGUCUGGAACGCCGAAGGUGAAAACAGCUCGCUGGGGCAGCGCUGACGCUGAGACACGAAAGCCAGGGGAGCGAACGGG